rnacentral:lncRNA from 1 species
ACGGAUGGCAAACUGGUAAAUAUGCAUGCCACUAACUUAAGCUACGCGUUUUGGGCAUUCAAAAUGAAAUGUUUUGAUUGGCUCCCAGCCAAUCAAACAGUAAUUAUGCAGAAAAUUCAAAACAAACACCAAUUGAAAUCCAAGUUUUUUUGAAAAAAAAAUGCUGUUAGGGUUUUGGAAACUUAGGGUGUAACUGCAGCAUCAUGUGUUCAUCAUCACCGUCAUUCGACCAAACAAACUACAGCAUGGCAUAGCAAACCAACAGCAUUCAUUUUCAAACAAGAUCAUCCAUUGACAUGAGCAAAAAAAAAAAAAAAAACAUCCAGCAUCAAACAAUUGAGCAUAGCCAUGAAAAUUAACAGCAAAACAACAUGAUCAUGGGAAUUGUUUGGAUAGAACAACAGGUUUAAACAACAGCAAAGAUGCAUUCAUCAUGUAAUCAACCAAGAAUAGAAUCCAACAAAAUCACUCAAACAGCAGGACAUUAAUGCUUCACAUGGCAAUGUUCAUGGUUUCAAACACAACAGCAUAGUAU